AAAUCAUUGCCGCCAAAUCACGACGACACUUCGAACGUCAGUGGAUACUACUGAUCGAAGGCGCCAUGGAGGAACAAGGUAAUGGAAUAUCUGCAUCAGUUGCCAUCUCCGACUGCGAAUCUGUGGAUUAUGGAGCUUAACACAUCUAGUUUUUACAGUUGGCUGGAGAUCGACAAUGGUCCAAGGGAGUGUGAUCACUCACAUGCCCAACUUGCUUUGAUGGAAAAAAAAUCACUCAUUCUAAAAUAGGGUCAAUUAUUUUCCAUGCUCACUUAUUGCUGAUGCUGGAAACAAUAACAAGAGGCCAUGUUCUGAUAGUAUAUACUUAGUCUGUUGGCUUUCGUUGUGGGACAAUAUUUCAUUCAAUCUUUUGGACAUUAUUUCCGAAAAAAGC